CCUUCCCCCACUUGGACAUCUCAUCCCCAGACAAGUCAAUCUGCACAUUGCUUUUAUAACCCUAUUCCGUGUUCUUUUACCCCAGGUAUGGCUAGCAGGAGUCCCACUGUACGCUUCCACCCUCUAACACACACUGUGACAAAACUCAAUAAGCAACUUAAGGGAGAGAGGCUCUAUCUGCUGGCACACAAGCCUCCAACUAUCUCCGUCAUUAAGGGAGGCCAGAACCGGAGCUCAGGACAGGAAAUGUGGAAGAAUGUUGCCCCCUGGCUCCCCAGGUCAGGCUUCGGCUGCCUAGCACAAGAAGCCAGGGUCACCUGCCUAGGAACAGUGUCACCUGAAGUGGAAACUUCUGGUUUCUUUGGAAAGUCAGGUACGUCCAAGGACGCUUUGCUGGGGCACACGGGUGAAAGGAUGUCCUGCUAAAGCGGAGGCUUGAAGGACGCGUGACGCUUAGGUGGAAUAUGAAUAAAGCCCGACAGGCGGUGGACGAUGCUGGAUGCUAUAGCAGGCACCCACAAGCAGCCAUCGCAGCCAAGGGAACUGAGAGACGUCAAAAGCAACUUUCAACCCUGACUUUUAUGGCCGCCCAAAUUAGGUGAGCAGCCCAAGUAUUCACGUGUCUUGUUUCUAGAGUCUCUUCCUAGGGGGACACUUCCCUGGUCCCAGGGUGUCUACAAGAAUGUCUGACAUGACAGCCUGCUCCUGGGGGUGCCCCUCUUUCUGGAGACCAGACAGUGCCCAGUGCUCUUCAGCAGAUGUCAGCUCCACUCUCGGCAUCUCUGCAGGGGUUCAGUUUUUUCCGGAAUUACUGCAACCGUGAGGUAUAACCAAGGGGAGUUUGGUAGAUAUGGGUCCCAGGUCAUCAUGAUGGCCCCAAGGGAGGCAAUGAAGAAGAAAGGCCCCAUGGGGAGAACCAGGCAAGCCUGUCCUCCGAGAGACCUUGGAGAGAAUUAAAGAGAGUGAAGACGGCUCAGUUGGAAGCACGCAGGCCUGAGUCCGAUCUCACAGAGCCCACGUAAGAAGCCAGGCGUGAUGAUGCGCCUGAAGCCCCUUUGGUGGUGAGGUAGAGACAGAUAGACUGACGCCGGGACUCACUGCCCAGAGAGUUUAUUUCAGUCGUCAACCCCAGGACAGGGAGAGACCUUGUCUCUGAAAACGAGGUUGGCAUUGACAGACGACCUCGGGGGAAACAAAGAAGGGGAAGCAGAUGCUCAACAGACCUUAGCAGCUGUGGUUGUCUGUGGGGGCCGUACCACAGCACAGCACGGAGGGGUAGCAUCCGUGGCUGUCACUGCAGCUCACCACUGCACAAGGGCCCUGGAUGGAGGUCUAGCUUCUGCCGUGGGCAGAGGCUCCAUACUGAUGAAUCUUCGGGUCAUCACCCACAGUACCUCUGUUUUGAGCUUCCUCCUCUGAAUUGCACCGCGCACCUAAUAUAACUGUCCACAGGACCCCGCCUCCAAGGGGGACACAUCGCUAAAACUCUGCAGGUCUGACCGACAGCUCUAGCCGUUAGGAUUUCAAGCAAGCUUCCCCACAUAUAGUGAGGACAGCUGGACCACUCUCUGUCCACCCCCAAGGUCACAACCAACACUCCAUUCUAAACAAAAGAGGCGGUUACCAGUCAAGCUCUCACUACGAUAAUCCUUAGUGAUGUCCUUCUGCCCCUGGGGACCUGUACCUGCUGCCAUUGUACCCUACCAACAGUGGUAUAUGUUUCCACACACUGCUGGGCACCAGAGAGGGCUUCCUCUCUUUAAUUAAAAGAUGCUGACCUUGCAGGCUGGAGUUAGCAAACACAGUCAUCCCAAGGUGUGUGUUGUGGAAGUGUCCCACACUGUCAACUUGGCACGUCCUUGUGACAUACGCUUGCAACGUGAAGCCAGAGGAGGGGGAUUGAAAGAGUGCCAAGAUUCAAGGCAGAGCUCCUGGCCGUUCCUGAUCACCUGCAGGACAUUGGCAGCUGUGACAGCUCUGCAAAAGCUCUGAUGGGGAGAGCCGUGGUUCCCUGGCAUCACCCCGGGGCCCUCCAGGGCUCCUGUUCAUCUUCAUUCAUUAACUUCCAACCUCAAGGCCACACCGGCACACAGUUCUCAGUGGACAUCUUCUGUGGGGCACAGAGACAGAAAAUGUCACAACAGAAGCCCGGGCAGGGCGCUCCGAAAAUGAAUGGCCGAGUAAAAUCAAUCAGACUCUCUGGCGGAUUCCCGUCAGACGUUUGGACGGUGGUUAUUAAAACCAAAUUCUACACGGUUUGGGGGGCAUCUUGCAUCAGUCAUUCCAAGAGGGAAGGAGUUUGGAUUACUCCCAAUCCAGGUUCGAAUCUGACCCCGGGCCCAAGGAGUAGUGCAAGUUUGGGUGGUUUUCCUAAAGAUUAUAUACAUAGCUCUCUUCAACCAAAGGAAUGGUGGUUAGUUCAGGCACAGUCGUACGUCAUUCACGAUGGGCUCACGGUCCGAGUAACGACUCUGUGUAAGGAUACCGGCGUCCUUACACAGACAGGCAGCAACAUCAGCGGAGGAAUGUCGUCCUGCUCAACCACCUGUCUGAAAAGCCAAACACACACAUCAGCCUGCCAGGGAGCAUGAGGACUCAUUUCAGCUCUAUCCUGUGGCUCGUUUAACUCCACGUAUCAGCAAAUGGAAGACGCCACCGCCAUGUGCAACGUGCAAUUAUACAAGCUUACAUCUGAACGCUGGGCGGCUUGGUCUCGCCUCACCCCACAGGCCAUGAGUAAGCCGAUCUACAGUUUAUGCAGGCCUAGAACGGGCAAGUCACACUUCCCCGGGACACACACGUCUUCAUAGGCUCAGCCAAGUGAAGAGGGGAGAUGCAUUGAUUUCCCGGGGCUCGUACAAAUUAACCACAAGCUUUCUCGAAUCUCAGGACUCAGUCUUCUGGGAACUGCACCAUGGUGUGGCAGGGAUGGGUUCACAUGAGCUGGUUCAGCCUCUGGUUUCUUCCAGAUCCCCGGGUUGCCUGGUACUUGGCUGGUGACGCCUUCUUCCACCUUGGAUGUGCAUCUCCACCUCUGCUUCCAGUACUGUGCAGCCUCUCUCUGUUUGCAACCUCUUACCCCCGAGAAGACCCCUGCAAUGGGAUCCAGCCAUGGAUCAUGAAGGACCACAUUCCCAGCACAAUGUCCUUUUCGCCGUGAGAAUUCCCGUGUCCCUGUUUGGGGAUCAGGACAAGGAUGAAUGUGUGAGUGAGAACAUUGUUCCCUGUCACUGAAAGGUGUCAGGUGGCACCUCUCCCUGGUGAGAUAGGCAGACAAUGUCAGUUUUUAUAACAUUUCCGCAAACUCUGUAGAUUUGCCCCUUCAAGGAAACUGUGUGAAGCUCAUGGUUGUCUUCCCAGACUGUGCAGUCUCCAAACACAGCCCUGCAAAGUAUAGGGCUGGGAAAAUGGCACAGAAGUUAAGAAGAGCAUGCCACUCAUACAAAAGACCCAAGUUUAGUUCCCAGCACCCAACCCACUCUGGACAGCUCAUAACCAUCUAUAACUCCAGCUCCAUGGGGUCUGACAUACUUGUCUGAUCUCCAUAAGCACCUUCACUCAUAUGGCACAGAUCAUACACACACACACACACACACACACACACACACACACACACGCAUACAUACAUACACAUACAUACAUAUACACACAUACACACAAAAAUAUGUACCUAUACACAUAUGCACAUACAUACACACAUACUUACACACAAACAUACAUACAUAUACACUUACAUAUACAUACAUGCAUAUACAUAUACAUAUACAUACAUGCAUAUAUACAUACAUAUUCACACAUAUAUAACACAUGCAAACACACAUACAAACACACACAUAUACAUAUAUAUGCAUACAUAGACACAUACAUACAUACAAACACAUGCAUACAUAACAUACAUACAGGCAUACACAUAUACAGAAAUAUACACACAUACAUAUAAACACAUACAUAUACAUACACAUAUACAUAUACACACAUACAUGCAUACAUACAUAUACAGACAGACAACAGACAUACAUAUACACAUAUACUAAAAAAAGUAUAACAAAGGGCUGAAGAGAUCGCUCCCAGGUUAAGAGCAUUUGUUGCUUUUGUAGAGAACCUGGGUUUAGUUCUUAGCAUCUACGUGGUGGCUCACAACCACCUAUAACUCCAGUUCCAGGAGCUCUGUCUGACACCCUUUUCUGAUCUCCAUGGGCACCAGGCACGCAUGCAGUGCACAUACACAUGUGUAGACAAAUGCAAAAACAUAUAAGAAAAUUUCAAAUCUGAAAACUGAUAAAGUAAGUAAUCUUUUUGUCUUAAAUUUAUUUCUUACCCAUGAGAGGUUGGCUGCAGCCCUCAGGUUGUGUGUCCUUUCCUCCAGAGCAGCUGGCAUUUAGGGUUUCUGUCUUCCAGAGAUUUGUUUAGCUGGUGGGACUGGCUCCAUCAGUCGGAGACUCUCAGAUCCUCACAGCUGGGUGGGAGCUGGAGGGGCCCAGGCCCAAAGAUGUUCAUACGCUGUCGACUUGAUUUCAGUCAUUCCAUUUUUAAGUGGGUGAGGAAGCUUCAGCGGCAGGGCUGCAGACCCUCUUCUCUCUUGAUGACUCUAGAUGCUAUUCAGAUCAACACUCUCUCCACACCUCCUUGUCAAAGAUGUGAGUGGCAACAGUGCUCGCCUCUGGCCUGAGCUGGCUUGGCUCGAGUCCUCCACUGAGGUGGUUCUUAGCAGUAGCAGAACCAGACUGAUGUUCUCUUCUUCACAGCGGUGCACAGCUCCUGAGAGCCCCAGAUCAGGUCUACAUGGGUGAUGGCAGUGAAUACAAGAGUCUUGCCUUGGAGGCUUUCAGUACCACCAUGGCCACCAUGUGCUUCUCACAGAAGGGGUCCAUCUACCUCGGGCGUGGUAAUGCCUCUCCAAUAGAGCCCGGAGCAGAGGCUUCCUUGCAACUGGAGCAUGGGGUGAUUAGAUGAACUGAGGGCACACGGGGGAGCCAUGGCCCUAAUCCAAGGCCACUAGCAUCCUUACAAGAAGACACACAUUGAGCUUGCCAAGUGGCACUGGGGACAGAUUGGAACUGUCCGGCUGUGAGCCAAAGUAGACAGCUUCCCAGUAAAGUACCCAGAAGCCGGAAGAGGCAGGACAAAGCCCGACCUCCUCUGUGUGAUCAGACGGAGCAAGCCUUGACCCCAGACUGUGAAGAAUGAGUUCCCAGUCUUCAAGCAGCCAAAAAGGGUUGAGGAUUUAACACAGCAGCCCGAGGGACACUACUGACCUGAAGAGAAAAGGAGACCCAGCAAGGCCGUCCUCGUCAAGAGGCAGCCAGUGCCUGUGCUGUCCUACCUCCUACAGAUCUACAUGCCUCCAGUCAGUAGAUGGCUCAGAGGCACAGUGCACCCCUGAGGAAAAGGCUGAACUCAAGCUUGCCUCACUUCAAGGUGUCAGGGAACCAGCAAUGGUCCCCGAGGUCAACACAGACAGUGGAGACACACGGACCCCAAGGCAACUCACGUUCGUACACCAUCCAGCCGAUGGCCCUGGCCUUGACCCCUCAGCAGUCUGAGUUCCUUCCCUUCAUGCACAAGGGUGGGUAACACUGCAACCAGAUCCAGCGCAGUGUGCCACAUGAUGGGCACGGCAGCUGAGCAGUGCCUGGCAUGUGAAGAACACGGAAGCCGCUGCUCCUGACUCUUUGGGAUGGAUGCUGCCCUCCUGUGCUCUGGAUCUCCCUGCUUACAAAAAACUCAAGGGAGGGGGCUGGGGAUUUAGCUCAGUGGUAGAGUGCUUACCUAGGAAGCGCAAGGCCCUGGGUUCGGUCCCCAGCUCCGAAAAAAAAAGAACCAAAAAAAAAAAAAAAAAACUCAAGGGAGAAGACUGCUCUUCAGCCAGAGUUCACACUUAAGGAUCCAUGGGAUUAGCGGUGCCAACCUUGGAUCCUCAGGUGUGGACCCCCGGGGAACCUGGGCAGCUCUUUCCACAUCUGAGUCAGGUCAGGCCACACUUCUCCCUCUGUUCAUCACUGUGACUUUCACCAAGAACUGCCACAAGGUCAUUUUCAGGGUGAGGCACGGAAGGACCACGCUGCUCCAGGAGGCCCUGGCUUCACCAGGGGAUGCCAAGUGUAAUUUACCUGGAUCCCAGGGAAACAGAACGAUGCUUCCUCAGUGGGAAUCUGCUGUGAGGAGGCAGGAGCCCGAGGUGCUUGUCCCCUGAGCAACAGCAUGGGGACCUCAUGCAGGAAGGUGGUCUCUAUGGAAUUACUGAGUCCCCCGGAGGCUCACUGUCCCCAGUACAAAGGAAAGCCCACUGGAGCUGAGCCCCUCGGACCGGCCACACACUCAUCCUCUGCCAUUUCUAAUGUGACGGACGGACGGAUGGAAGCAAGCAGAAACUUUGAACUGCAGUCACCACCCACCAGGCUUCCAGAAUCACACCAGCCUUUCCCCAGACACAUGCAAAUGGCCACAGUUCAACCAUCUUGUGAUUUUUGAGCACUGAGUUCAGAGAAGUCUCCCUCACAUGGUCAUUAUGUACUUAGCAUGAGGGACCUGCCCCCACAUCACAACUUGCUUUUGACUUGACGUUUCCAGCGGAUCAAGGGCAAAACCCAGAAACAGAUGGGAAAAGGUUAAACCUCUCACCCUGGGAACCACUGGCCACUAGUGGUGUGUGGACAACCCAGGACAGGUGGUAAGAGCUGUGACCUGCCACCGUGAGCUCUGGGGCAGCCCCUGCUUUAGACCGAAGCCCCAGCACACAGAGCAGUAGACCUGCAGUGAGUGCCACCCAGCAAACACACAGGAACUACUGGGCAUGUCAGCUAAGCCUGCACUCCUAAGAGAGCAAGCAUUCGGUCUCACAACUGCAAGUUAUCCUCUUGCAGAUGUAUUGUGUGACAUAGAGAUAUAUGGAAGGAUAGAUAGAUAGAUAGAUAGAUAGAUAGAUAGAUAGAUAGAUAGGAUUGAUAGAUGGUAGAUCAAUAGAUUGGUGGUGAUGAUGGGAGAUUGAUAGAUGAUUAAUAGAAUGAUUAACGGAUGAUAGAUGGAAGAUAGAUAGAUAGAUAGAUAGAUAGAUAGAUAGAUAGAUAGAUAAAGUGGGAGUUUAGACUAGGGAUCACCCUGCAGUAGACUUUAACCACCAUCCCAAAUGAAAUUAUGUUUGAGAUUUGAAGGAUUCAUACCUCCUUGUGAAACUUGGGCAUGAGAGCCAUAAUGUGUGUGUCUCAGUUAGGGUUUUAUUGCUGUGAAGAGACACCAUGACCAAGACAACUCUUAUAAAAGACAUUUAAUUGGGGCUGGCUUACAGGUUCAGAGGUUCAGUCCAUUAUCAUCAAGGCAGGAGUAUGGCAGCAUCCAGGCAGACAUGGUGCAGGAGGAGCUGAGAGUUCUACAUCUUCAUCUGAAGGCUGCUAGCGGAAUACUGACUUCCAGGCAGCUAAGAUGAGCGUCUUAAAGCCCACGCCCACAGUGACACACCCACUCCAGUAAGGCCACCCCUUCUAAUAGUGCCACUCCCUAAGCCAAGCGCAUACAAACCAUCACACCUCCUAAUAGAGUCAUAUCCCAUGGGCCAAGCACAUUCAAAGGACCACAGUGGGCGACAGCCUAUUCUUUUAACUCAUGACCUACCCUACACAAAUCCUGCUGUAGGAAAUUGCCCCCAUCUCCCCAGCCAUUCCUAGAAACUUGUGCAUUCUGAGGGUCAACCUGGGCAAACCAAAGAUGGCAGGGUGGGGCCGGAUUAGUCAGUUGGUCAAAUCCAUCCCAAAGUAACCCACGGUCAUUUCAGUGGACUUCAGUGGGGCUGGGACAGGUGCGAGCAAGAGUGAGAAGACACCAUACUCUUAAGGUGACUUUACCGUUCAAGACCUUGUAAGUGCAGAGUCACCACUCACUAUGAGAACUUCCUUAAACACCAUACCCCAGGAGUCCCCCCUGACUGGCUUGGGACCUGGUCACCCAGCCUCGAAUAAUUGCAGAUCUUCAUGGGUCCAGAUUGGAAUCUCAGUCAAAAGCAAACAAACCCAAAGCCUGUGAUUCAGAGCUGGGAGAUGGGAAAUAAAAACAACUCUGCAAUAUAGGAAGUCUGGAGACAUAAUUGCUAAUGUGGGAGGCCCAAGUAUUGCGGGAAUAUUUCAUUUCUUUCUAAUUUGUUGCGAGCUAUUCUCAGUCAAGAAAACAUAAAGCUUCUCUUCUCCCAUACACAGGCUUUGAGUUAAACCCAUCCCCCGAAAAGACCCGAGGCAAAGGAGAAAACUAGCCAGUGAACAAAAGUUACUUUCCAUGUAUAAUUGGAGGAAAUUGAAUGCGUCUCGUUCUGCAAGCCCUUUAUUAAAAAAAGUUUUCCCCACAGAAACUUCUCGCAAACAAGUUUUAGAGAGAGCUGGCUUUCCGAGAGCUAAGAUGCACGCAUCCCUAGAGGUCAGCUUAACUUGGCAAAGAAAAAUGUUUGUGGACCUGUUAUCCUCGCCCCCACCUUGGCUUUGUACGAGGCGGCGACAUCGAUUUAAGUCAAGAACAAUAAAGCUCCCUUUAGUUUCCAGAAACUCGCCCUUGGCGGGUGGGGGGGAGGUAAGAAGGAAAGCCCUGCUCUGUCAUGUGCAAGAACAAUCAAUACAAGAUGGGUGGUGCGGGUGUGUGACCCACAGUCAGCCUUAACAGUGACUUCACUGCAUUUAAGGCUCUAAGAUUCACUGCCAGCUUCUGGGAUAGACAUGUAAAGCCAGGGUGAGGUGAGGAAGCACACAGUCAGACUCACCCGAGAGCCAGUGUGGGGUGAGGAAGCACACAGUCAGACAGAAGCAUCAAGAUGUGAUGCUUCUGCUGCCACAUGAUCUGUAGGACAGCCGAGGACACAGAAACUCCACAAGGAGUGUCCUAGGAAACCCAGUUGUGUCAAGCAAUGCACGUGAAAUCCCAUGCCCAGAGGGGCUGUGCUGUGGGAGGGAAGAGGAUAAGGCUCAGGAUGCAGUGACCCGCCGAGGUCACAGGGCAAACCAGCAGCGGAGCAGUGGUAAGCGCAAUGACCUCUGACCCCGGCAGUGUCCACCAGCCCAGCUGUGCAACCAGCUCUCUCGGCUUCCCACCAUUGGGACAAAAAGAAAUGUAUGACCCUAUCUGACUCACGAGGCGUUAGCAGUUCAGUGGGCAAAGCCAAGCACACAGUCCACACAGAAGUAGAUGCCAAGGCUUUGAAACUUCCUCUGAGCUUAAAAUAUCCAUGAUUCUCCUGUGGAAACCCUUAAAGCCUUCAGGGGUGGACCUUGGAAAUGGCUCCCCGGGAAGAAGGAAAGAGAACGCCCAGGAGGAACAGCCCAGGCUUGCAGAAGACAGAGCUGAAGAGCAUCUCUGAGUAACUCCUGGCCAAUCAGAACAGAGAAAUCUGUGACCUGGUACCACAGGGAGAGGGCCACGGUCGUUUCCAUGGCUCAGGAUCUAAGACAGGGCAGACCCCGUGGUGAGAUCUGUGCGCACAUGCUGGGGGAGUCCUGGGUGUGCAGAGACUGGAGGAUCUGGUUUAGAACCAAGUGGAGUUUUCCUAGGUGUCAGAUACCUUGAGGCUCAAGGGAUAACAGAUGCUGAAAUCAAGUGGGGUUUGUGGAGUGAGCCCGGGCCCCGAGAGGGAGUCUGUCCAAGGCAGUGCCUGCAGAAAUAGAGAAGCCAGCAAGGCUCUGGUGGGCCAGAGACAAGGUUCUGUGCCCCGGGGCUGUGCAUUGCAUUUAGAACCAUGAACAGAUCUAAAGGGUAUGGCCUGGAUCGUGGUGGUAAAGGCGGAUGCAGCAGGACCAGGAGCCUCGAUCAGGAAGUUUGCCUCCAACCUGGUGGGAGCGAAAUGCAUCUGGAGGCGCUCUGUGGUCAGUCAGCUCCUGCGUCCUGACUUUACUGAAUGCACCUAAAUGGGUGGCUCCCAGCGAAGGCACCUGUGAGCGUCUGCUCAGUCAGGCGUUUGGUAAGGCCUAGAGACAUCCCGGUUCCUCACCAUGGAGAUGAGAUGCAACUGAAAUGGCUGGAGAACAUAGCCACCCUUCAGGGCACUGAUGCCUCUGGUGAGGCCCAAAAUACCAUGCUGACUCCUUCACAUCCACAAGGCCCCCCAAAACCCCACGAAGGACUCCCCAUUCUACUUAUCAAGGGCCCUCCACUUGAAAAAAAAGAUCCCAUUUGGUUACCCCUCUAUCCAGUCAGACCAACUGCCCCCAACCAGUCCUCAGCAGAGAGGUCUUGUCUCAAAAAGUAAGGUGGAGAGGAACGGAGGGAGAAAUUUGACACCAAAUUCUAGCCUCCACACAUGUAAAUACAUAUGAACACAGGCACAUGCAACAUACACACGCACGCACACACACACACAUACACACACAUACACACAACACCAUACACACAUAUGCACACACACACCACACACACAUAUGCACACACCACACACACACACACACACACACACACACACACACACACACACAAGCGCUUGAGCUUCAAAACAAACAAAA